UACGAAGGGGGCUAGCGUUGUUCGGAAUCACUGGGCGUAAAGGGUGCGUAGGCGGGCAUUUAAGUCAGGGGUGAAAUCCCGAGGCUCAACCUCGGAACUGCCCUUGAUACUGGAUGUCUUGAGUCCGGAAGAGGUGAGUGGAACUGCGAGUGUAGAGGUGAAAUUCGUAGAUAUUCGCAAGAACACCGGUGGCGAAGGCGGCUCACUGGUCCGGAACUGACGCUGAGGCACGACAGCGUGGGGAGCAAACAGG
rnacentral:rRNA from 1 species